AUUGAAACUGCGGGCACGUCUACUGAUACGGAGAGACCACAGAGUCAUUCUUCGUCAUCUGACGAAAUACUCGUUGACACUACUUUGCCCCCUGAUGCUCCAAAACCGAAGCACACGCGACAAGUGGUGGAGCCAUCAGAACCAGUUGAUCUGAAAUCUGCGGACUUUCAAGUCUGCAUAACUAUCAUUGAAGCUCGACAGCUGAACGGAUUGAACAUGGACCCAAUUGUCUGCGUACAAGUUGGUGAAACAAAGAAAUUUACCAGCGUGAAGG
rnacentral:misc_RNA from 1 species